GAUGAACGCUGGCGGCGUGCCUAAUACAUGCAAGUCGAGCGAACGGACGCGACGCUUGCUUCUCUGAUGUUAGCGGCGGACGGGUGAGUAACACGUGGAUACCCUACCUAUCAGACUGGGAUAACUUCGGGAAACCGGAUCUAAUCCCGGAUAAUAUUUUGAACCGCAUGGUUCAAAAGUGAAAGACGGUCUUGCUGUCACUUAUAGCUGGAUCCGCGCUGCAUUAGCUAGUUGGUAAGGUAACGGCCUACCAAGGCAACGAUGCAUAGACGACCUGAGGGGGUGAUCGGCCACACUGGAGCGGAGACACGGUCCAGACGCCUAAGGGACGCAGCAGUAGGGAAUCGUCCGCAAUGGGGGAAAGCCUGACGGAGCAACGCCGCGUGAGUGAUGAAGGUCUUCGGAUCGUAAAACUCUGUUAUUAGGGAAGAACAGAUGUGUAAGUAACUGUGCACAUCUUGACGGUACCUAAUCAGAAAGCAACGGCUAACUACGUG
rnacentral:rRNA from 1 species